CCUACGGGUGGCAGCAGUGGGGAAUAUUGGACAAUGGGCGAAAGCCUGAUCCAGCCAUGCCGCGUGUGUGAAGAAGGCCUUCGGGUUGUAAAGCACUUUCAGUGGGGAAGAAAGCCUUGGGGCUAAUACCCUCGAGGAAGGACAUCACCCACAGAAGAAGCACCGGCUAACUCCGUGCCAGCAGCCGCGGUAAUACGGAGGGUGCGAGCGUUAAUCGGAAUUACUGGGCGUAAAGCGCGCGUAGGCGGUCUGUUAAGCCGGUUGUGAAAGCCCCGGGCUCAACCUGGGAACGGCAUCCGGAACUGUCAGGCUAGAGUGCAGGAGAGGAAGGUAGAAUUCCCGGUGUAGCGGUGAAAUGCGUAGAGAUCGGGAGGAAUACCAGUGGCGAAGGCGGCCUUCUGGACUGACACUGACGCUGAGGUGCGAAAGCGUGGGUAGCAAACAGGAUUAGAUACCCCAGUAGUC
rnacentral:rRNA from 1 species